ensembl:lncRNA
UUUAUCUCAAGAAGAUAAAAAUGUAUUUAUUGCUCAGAAGGCAGUCUACAUGAGGCCCACGUUCUAAUUUGUACUGAAUGUAGAAGAAUAGGCCGGAGUAGAAAUAACCAGGUAAGGAUUUUACAUAGAGGUGAAGACCUCGGUGAAGGUAUGAACAAGAGGUGGUACUACAUUCAAAGUGGGAAGGAACGUUCCAUCAUAAAGACCGGAGGUCAUAGGCAGGACAGGUGAGGAGGAGGUACGUAUCUUCAACUUGAAGAUGGGGUGAAGGAUCUGUAUCUAUAAGAAUCAUCUAUAGUUGCUGUAGCAUCUGUACUGCUUUUAGAAAUACUUGACUGUGGUUGAGGGGUCACAGUAGUUGUUACCAUUUGUGGUAUAAAGAGGUUGUGAAAUACCUUGACCACCUCAGGCUCAUUCUGAACUUUUGAUACGGCUGUAUGCCUCUAUUUUGCUUCUCUGAGGCUUCUCUGGCUUUGGUAGCUUCCUCUUCUAUCUGUUCUAUGUGACACUGUAAUUCCCCCAGUCCCAGUGUCUUUAACCUCUCCUCCAGCAGUGCAGCUUGAAUAUCUAAGAGAUCAUUUCUGGGGGAAGUCCUGAGUGAAGUACUGCAGUGGGAUCAGGAACUAGAAUGACGGCUUGAAUAUGGAGGGGAAGGACUUGUAGCCCACUAGGUAAGCUGGGAAUGGCUGUUCUUUGUCUGUGAACAGGACUGCACUGACACUAUCCGAAUCCAUUGCUUCUGGAGUUCUCAAUUCCGCUCAAAGGGCAAUGUAAACAAGGCUGAAACCUCUGGAACACACUGGUUGUCUCAGUGGAGUAAUAGUAUGGUGUAUUCGCAUUAGAGAUUAUGAACAAAGAGAAAGACAGGGAGAGAAACAAAGACAAACCCAUCUCACACUCCCUUAGACUCAUUAGGGACACACAUUGGGCCACGUUUAUCAAGUUGUUUAUUUAUGUAUUCGUAAAUUGCUUGUGCAAGAAACAAUUUCUACAAGAAAUCUGGUAUUCAUUUAUGUCUAAGAAGACUGACUAAUGCUUACAGACAAUUUACACAAGUCACAAGUCAGUCCCUCCAGGAUUUUGCGAUCGCAGAAUUCGAGCUCACUCCGCAAUAUUCGGAGGAGCUUUUCCACAGAUUUGAGCCAAGACGUGUCAUGUGACAUCAUCACAACCCACAUUCAGCCAAAGCCCUGUUCGACUCACGUGCGUCAAACGUGAGUACAGCUAAAAGGUCUCAUUUACCAACAAACAUCAUGGCGAAAGACCGUGCAAAACAAUUUCGUGCACUUACGAUUAUUCCAAUUUCCAAAAUCGAGCAGUGAAAUUUGAUUAGUCUUGGAUUUUAAAAGCCGUGGAUCGUCGGUAAUGAGUAGAAAGUUGUCAACAUGUUGGUCAGACAGAAAGAGAGCAAGAGAGAGAGCGAGAGCGAGAGCGAGAGAGACUCGCUCAUGACCCAUAUGAGGUCAGAGGCGUGCGAAAAUGCUGAAUGUGUGUGUGUGAGAGAGAGAGAGACUCUCUGAUGGGAUUCAGUGGCGCUACUGCUACUGCUGCUGUGGCUGUCAAUCUCUCUCUCUCUCUCUCUCUCUCUCUCACACACACACACACUUUUUCAAGUGCCUCUGGCUCUGAUCUAAGGCCACCAUCUAAUGGGCAGGUGACCAGGUGUGUGUGUGUGUGUGUGUGUGUGUGUGUGUGUGUGUGUGUGUGUGUGUGUGUGUGUGUGUGUGAUUGAGAUAUAGAGCAUUAGCCAGUGUCAGGAGGAAAUUAGAGGCCGGAGCGCUUGCUUAAUCAGAGCACAAGCAGUGUGUUAGACGAAUUACAUCCACAGCUGCUCACUGCUCCCUAUCUGUCUUACUCUUUCUAUAUCUCUGUCUCUCUCUCUCUCUCUCACUCUCUGUCUCUCUCGGGUCAGAUCUGGGACUCGGCCACGUGGCAAUAAUCACUCUGGGGUCUUCUUUUCUCUCUGCGUGUCUCUCUCUAUUGCCAAUAACCCCUCAUUCCCCUCAUUCCCCUCAUUCCUCUCUCUCUCUCUCUCUCUCUCUCUCUCUCGCUCUCUCUCUCUCUCUCGUGCCAGACCUGGGACUCGGCCACCUGUCAAGCACCUGACCCCACUUCCUUAAAUUCUCCAGUGUAUACACACACACACACACACACACACACACACACACACACACUCUCUCUCUCUCUCUCUCUCUCUCUCUCUCUAAGCAGUAUGUUAUGUGAUCAGUCAUAUGAUACACUAUGAAGUAAAGUGUGUCCCUUUCUGAAGGAAUGCUGUUCUUCACGUUUUUUGUGAUUCCUCAGAGAGAGAGAGAGAGAGAGAGAGAGAGAGAGAGAGAGAGCGUUUUUAUAUCGGCCACACACUCUAACG